rnacentral:lncRNA from 1 species
AACAAAAGCUACCCAUGACCAAUGUGUGAUGGAAAGCUUCCCAGCUCCUCAUGAAGACAGAGGUAUAAAGACGUGUGUAGAGCAGAAUCACUCCUCCUCCCCCUGCUCCCUGCCAUGAAAAAGGAAAAAGAAAAAAAAAAGUAAAGAGAAGAGAAGAAAGACAAAAAUUCUAAGUUCAUCUAAACCUAUCAACAUGUGCAGAACGCAUGUCUGUGCCUAUUAAUCACUGCUGGGGAAACACAAAGCCACAGUGCCAUUACGGAAAAGACAACAGAUCAUUCCAAAGCCAUAUGGCCACCACCAUUGAUCCUGACAUCCAGGAAUCAGUGAAUGAUCUUGACUGGUAAGAAUGUAGAACCAGAGCCAAUAUUAUAACUUCACUGCUUCUACAGACUGUGGGGAAACACGUUUUGAGAGUAAUGCAAAGCUGCAACAAAGAGCACAUGGAUAUGCUAUCAGUAUUUGCUAUCAAAGGAUCUCAUCAUAUGGCAUAAUGUGCUUUAAGAGUGAUUACAGUAACUUAAAAAAAAUUGUAUUAGCUCAUUUGUUCCUUAAUAAAUCUGUUUUUUAAGUGAACCCUGAAUGAGUUGGAACAUUAAGUUAUAUGGACAGUCUUCCAAAUCCUUGUACGAGUACACGAUCCCAUUUAUUUAGGUAGGAAUAUUCACACAUAUAUAUGUAUACUAGCACUUAUUAAAUAAAAUAAUUAUCACAUUUUCAAGACUGCUUAUAGUAAAGGCCUUGAAUAUCACAACUGGGUGCAUGACUCAAUAUCUACACUUGGGGCCCUUUAUUGCUGCAGAAACCAGACUGGGAAUUUCCAGCUAGCAUAACAGCCUCUAAAUGUCUUCAUUUUCAUAUACCGUCUCAGAAAGUAGGUGGUCUCUGACAUGGUCUUUAAGUGCAGUGGGCCAGAUACUCAGCUGGUAUUAAUUGUCACUCCUUUGUCUUUGAGAGCAUCAUGCCAAUUUAACCCAGGAUAGGAUCUGGCUCAGCAUGGUCCUUUCCACACUGUCUGCUUAAUCUGUCUAAAUCUACGUUAAUCUAGAGUAGUUUACAGUAUCAUUUAAAAGUACCUCAAGGAAUAAACUUCUUUCCAAUGAUAAAAUAACAUCCAGAGAUAUUUUCUUACAAAAUAGGCUUUAAAAAGCUGAUCUCCCACACUGCAGAAGCGUCCCACAGUCUUCAGUUCUUGGCUGGCACAUAAAGACAGCCUAAAUUUCAAGAAUGCAAGACAGCAGCAGCCACUCUGUUUUGGGGAAACACAUAGUGAAGAUGUAUGGACAUAACCCUUGCAGUGACUAUGGUCUUCAGGACUAGUGAAGUGUCCCUGACAUCCUUUAUGUAACAGGGAAGAUGUAG